UGUUCCCUAACUCAAGUAACCAAAAGAGAGAAACUCCUCAAGCCAUUCCCUCCGUAGCCGACCAUCGCCGUAGGCCUUACCAUCACCGACGAUCGUCCAUCAUCCUUCAAUCAUUCACACUCAUUUAAAUUGAUCAUUCUUCAUGUUUUCAUCUUUUUCCUUCAGAUCUGCAUCGCUAUUCUUAUUCGUUCGUGUCUCAGAUCUCUAUUGCUAGGUUCGGUUCCUAUUGCCAAGAAAGAAACAAAAAUAUGGCAGAACCUGCAGCAUUACCUUCAUCUUCAAAACAUUGUUAAUGGUGGCAAGAAAGUUCGACGCAGAGGUUGCAGAGCGGCUACAAUUCCCUUGGUUUAGAAACAACACUAGUUUUUGGUGACUCUGUCUCUGUAUAAUGCCACUGCUAUGGAGUAAUGGAGUUGUUGAUCCACUACUGUCAUAUGGACGAGGAAGGGAGUUGCUGGGUAGAAGGCACAAGAGCCUCAUUUAUGGACCAGAUUUUACUGAUGUUAUUAUAAUAAGGUACAUGCUAGCUAGUUUUCUGAUGCUGUAAGUGUUUCAGUGAUAUGUUUCAGGUUGUGGAAUUGAUAAAUUGAACUUAGUGGGAGUUCUCAUCUUGAAUUUAACCUUUUUAGGUUCUCCAUUUUGGAAUAUCCAUCCUAUAUAUUGCAGGACUCAGUGUCAGCCAUUUUCUGGUCCUAAUCUUGGGGAAUUUGUUGGAAAUGCAACACCUAGGCUUUUUAGAAGGUGGACGGGUGUAGGUUCCUUGUUUCCCUUCUGCAGAUGUCAUUUUGAAGAAGGCACAAACGAUCAUGAACGUUGGUCUUUUGGGGAAGAGGUUGGUUCGCAGUUGCCUAUGUAAAUUCUUUUUUGGUCUUAUCUAGUUCCUUGUCUUUGCUUGACAUCAACUUUAAAAUGAGUUAAUUGAAAUAAAUAAAUAUAUUCUUACAUGUACUUCAUUUCAUGCUUUAAUUUUUGGUGUUGCACAGUAAGUUUUGAACUUAUUUAGUGUUAAUUUUAAAAAUUGCUCUUGUUUUCCCUGAAAUCUUUUGAACUUCUGUGAAAAAUGAUAACUGUUUAUGUACUUCUAUUCAUUUAUAUUAUUCAGAACACCUAAAAGAAAAUACUGGUUUUAUCAUGUAUUCUUUUUUAUGCCCAAUUACUCACUAAGCAUGUGAUUGUUGCUGAUGUAUCAGUAUCUACAUCAUGUUAAAUCAUUAUUUGAAAUUUGGGUGUUAAUUAUGUGAUUGCCCAUACCUUUUACUUUAUAUCAUUUUUAUUAUUAUUGUAAUCGGGCUAUGCUCUAUCUUUUCUUGAACUGCUUUCCCACUUUUCCUAAAGGAAAUUCUAUUUAACUUUUACCCAACUUAUUGAGUGGUGAACGGUAGUUUUGUUAUGAAAAAUUGUUUGGACUUUGGAAGUAAAAUAUUUUUUAUUUCAGUGUUAAAAUGCUUUGCUUAAGUUAUAAGACAGUUAACAAUAAAGUAGCAACAGGGCUCUUGAGUCGAACAUUAAGGAGCACUCUACAAGAUUUUUUUAGUUUACUACAUUGGGUUAAGUGUAAGUUUAUUGAGAUUUGAUCCCAUAAUAGUGAAACUAAUUAAAUCUCUCACUACUGAACUUGGCCUAAUAGUAAAUGUUCUUUCUUUUCUUGUAUUUUUACAUAUAGUGUGAAUGAGUAAUAGCCUAAUGGGAGAUUCUAGAUAAUUGUGGAUAUGAAGUAUAUAUCAGCUAUGCAAUCAGGUGUUGGAUAAGCUGGAGUAUUCCAAUGCCAAGUGGUUGGUUAAGUUAUUGUUCUUGAUUCUUUAUUUUUAAGUAUAUUGUGGAUUUUGUCCAUUUGUAUAGAUAAUUGAUGAUGUUGUUGAAGCUUUUCAACUCCUUACCAAAAGAGAGUAUGCCAGAUGGCUAGUUAAAUUGAAUUCUUCUCUUGAAAGAUUAGCUCCUGAGGUAUGCACUAAUUUUGAAUUAUUCUCUCAAGAAAGAUUUAUUGCUAACUCUCUGGUAUGUGUAAGAAUAAGAACUCUUAAUAUUUAACAGAUAAAACAAACGCUCACUUUUUUUAUUAUUUAAAUGAACGUUUCAAGAAUAACUUUCUCACUAGCUUAUUUAACUGAUUCAUGGCAGAAUAAAAUUCUCUUUAUUUUUAAUUCCUUGUUUCAAGAUAUUGUCUUAUAGGCUCAAGUUGAAUCAUGACAGAAAAAUAAGUGCUUAUUUGUUUAAAUUUUUUUAAAUUAUUUUUAAUAUUUGAUUGAAAAAAAGGAACUUAUUUGUUUGUGUUUUUUUUUUUAAUUGAUUGGGCUUAUUUAGAAAGAUUAUGGACCAGAUGAAGAAGAUGACGAGGAGGGCAAUGCUGGUGAUAGAUUGUUCUCUGUACCUAUGCCCAAGAUGAUGUUAGUGCUAGAUCUUGGUUAAUUAAAAAUUGGAAACUUUACUUCAUUUUUUCUGUUGUAUUAUUGUAUUGCAUCUGUGUUAGGCUCUAUUUGUUAGUUUUGAUCAUUAAUUAUGUGCUAAUCAUUGAUGUAACAUAGACUUAUAGUAUUUGUAUUAUUUAAAUUUAUAUUAUGUU